rnacentral:rRNA from 3 species
ACGGAAGGCAGCAGUGGGGAAUAUUGCACAAUGGGGGAAACCCUGAUGCAGCGACGCCGCGUGAGUGAAGAAGUAUUUCGGUAUGUAAAGCUCUAUCAGCAGGAAAGAAAAUGACGGUACCUGACUAAGAAGCCCCGGCUAACUACGUGCCAGCAGCCGCGGUAAUACGUAGGGGGCAAGCGUUAUCCGGAUUUACUGGGUGUAAAGGGAGCGUAGACGGCUUUGCAAGUCUGAAGUGAAAGCCCGGGGCUCAACCCCGGAACUGCUUUGGAAACUGUAGAGCUAGAGUGCAGGAGAGGUAAGUGGAAUUCCUAGUGUAGCGGUGAAAUGCGUAGAUAUUAGGAGGAACACCAGUGGCGAAGGCGGCUUACCGGACUGUAACUGACGUUGAGGCUCGAAGGCGUGGGGAGCAAACAGGAUUAGAUACCCUGGUA